rnacentral:sRNA from 1 species
GCUGGGUGUAGUGACGCACACCUGUAAUCCCAAUGACUCGGGAGGCUGAGGCAGGAGGAUUGUGAGUUCAAACCCAGCCUCAGCAACUUAGCAAGGCCCUAAGCAACUCAGUGAGACCCUGUCUCUA